rnacentral:lncRNA from 1 species
GCGCUCACUUGUCUGCUGAGUGACCUCGGGCAAGACACGCAACUUCUCUGGGCCCCCGCAGCCCAGGUAGCGGUCAGUCCUUCCCAGCGAUGGAGGAUUGGAGCCAACCUCCGACGUCCUAGAGAGGCUCAGGAAGUGCUCGGCUCAGGGGGAGAGCGGGUAGAAGGGCGCUUCCGGUCGGGCGCUCUAUCGUCCUCCCGUCCACUGAGGGGAGGCCGAGGUCACUCCCGGCGAUGGAGGAUCGGAGCCAACCUCCGACGUCCUAGAGAGGCUGAGGAAGUGCUCGGCUCAGGGGGCGAGCGGGGAGAAGGGCGCUUCCGGUCGGGCGCUCUAUCGUCGUCUCCUCCCUCCCUCUCCUCCUCCUCCUCCUCCUCCUCCCGCCCACUGAGGGAAGGCCGCGGGCCGCCGCCGCUCGGCUCCCGAGGCCCCGGGCUUGUGGCCGCCGGCCUCCCCCGCCCCCUCGGUGACCGUCUUCCCCGGGCCGGGGCUCCCCGAGGGGCGGGCAGAAGCCUCCCCUCUCCCCCGCCGUUACCGCCCGGAGCGACAGGUGUACACCAGAGAGCUCAUCUCCAGGAGGUCUUCCCAAACCAAGUCUCCCCUUUCCCUCUGCUCCCCAUCCCCCCCACUCUCUGCUCUUCCCCCUUCCCCUCCUAUCAGCACUGUGCUCAUUUGUGUAUAUUAAUUACCCUAUUUAUUUUGUUAAUGAGGUGUAAAUCCCCCUUGAUUCUAUUUAUCUUGAUGAACAUGUCUUGUUUUUGUUUUGUUCUGUUUUGCUUUGCUGUCUGUCUACCCCAGUUAGACUGUGAGCCCGUCAUGGGCAGGGAUGGUCUCUCUCUGUUGCCGAAUUGUACAUUCCAAGCGCUUAGUACAAUGCUUUGCACAUAGUAAGUGCUCAAGAAAUACUAUUGAAUGAAUCAAAUAGGAAAAUAAACCCCCCUGAGGCCCUGUUUUGGGCACUGUAGUGGACAGUCACUCAAUAAAUAUUAGCAAGAAAACAAAGGACAUAAGCAAAGGAAAAAUUGUGACAGGGAUGUCCUGGAGCAAGGGUCCCAACUUACACAGAUACAGAUGUAUGACCCACCCAGUUAAUCCAUCAACGGCAUUUACUGAGCGUAUACUAUGUGCAGAGCACUCUACUCUGCACCUGGAGGAGUGAAACAGAAGCAAAAGGCAAGUCUCCUGCCCUCAAGGAGCUUGCAGUCUAAAAGAGAGACUGGGACAAAUGAUGUACAAAUCCUGGAAACUGGAGGAGGAGCAAAGUUUCAGAUGGCAGAAGGAAAAGUUUGGUAGGAUGAAGUGAUUGAAUAAAGAAGAAGAGUGUGUAAAUUGAUGUACUGCUUAAGUGCUGAAGAUGGUUGUGAAUCCAAGCUCCAUGUGGGACAGGAACUCUGACCUUAUUGUAUCUACUCCAGUGGCCAUUACAGUGCUGGGCACAUAGUAAAUGCUAAAAAUACCAUCAUUAUCACUAUCAUUAUUACUGUUAUUAAUAAAGGGGCUGUUGGGUUGAUGCGAUUAAGGUGGUAGAAUGAAUCGGGGGAUGCUUCCCAAAGGAGGUGGGCAUUCAGAAGGGCUAUGAAGACAGGAAGAGCUGUGGUCCGGCAGAUUUAAAGGAAAGAGUGCCAGCGAGGGGAGAAGGCUUGAAGAAGGGAUGGGGGGUUGGAGAAUCAAAAGGGAGGUACAGCAGAUAGUUUGGGAGAAGCAAAGAAUCCAAGCUGAGGAGUAACAAGUGAAGAGGCCCAAUAUUAUUGAUAACAUUAUUAAUAUCAAUAACAAUAAUAGUAUUUGUUAAGCGUUUGCUAUGCGCCAAGCAGUGAACUAACUGCGGGAGUAGAUAAAAGAUGGUGGAGGGAAGCUAGUGGAGAGCCUUGCAGCCAAUGGUACCAAAUUUUUGCUUGAAGCCAAAGGAAAGAGGUCACCAUUAGAGUUUUUAGGGGAGCGGGGAGAUAUGUGCCAAGAGAAUAGACUGAAGUGAGGAGAGGCUGGGGGCCGGGAGUCUGACACACAAGUCCGAUCUUGAAAUAUCAAGAACCUGAAUCAGAAUAAAGGCUAUUUCCAUGGAGAGGAUGGGGUGGAUCGGGGAAAUGUUGCGAAGGAAGAAUCGGUAGGGUGUAGCAGAGCUAAAAGAGCAGGGAGUGGAAGAUAACACCAAGGUCGUGCGUUCUGGAACAGAGAGGAUGGUUGUGUGUGUGGUCAAAGCUGGGAGAAGGACUGGGUUUGGGAGGGAAGUCGGGGAGUUCUGGUUCCAAUGUGUUGAGUGUGUUGGUGGGCCAACCCAGUAGUGCCUCCUCCUUGUCUCUCUCACUGACGACUUGUUGCGCACACACUCACCACCUCUUCCCCUCCCCCCGAAACUCCUUCCCUCUUCAAAUCCUCCAGACCACAGCUCUCCCCGUCACUAAAGCCUUUAAGAAAUCCCAUUUCCUCCAGGAGACCUUCCCCAGUUAAUUUCUCCAUCUCCCCACCUUAUAACCCCCCCCAACUGCCACUUCAGACCUUCUGUAUCACCCAUGCACUUAAAAACUCACAACCCCCACAGCUUGGGGGGUUGUACUCAUCUUAUAUACUUUAUUACUUCCUCAUAGUCCUAAUUUAUUUGUCUGUCUCAGCUAGACUGUAAAUUCCUCCAGGGCAGGAAUUUGGUAUGCUAAUGCUAUUGUACUUUCCCAAAUGGUUGGUUCAGGGCUCUUCACAAACUAGGUGCUCAAUAAAUAUGAUUGAUUGAUUGAGAUGUCCUGGAGGCAACAGGAUAUGUGGCAUUGUAAGGCAGAUGAGAGGUUAGAUGCAGGGAGAUAGAUGUGGAAAGCAUUGCGUAGAAGUGUAGCCAGCCAGUGGUAGUGAAGCCAGCCACUUUGUUUUAGUGGUACUUGUGAAACACUAUGUGCCAGGCACUGUACUGACCGCUGAGGAAGAUACAAUAGUUAGUGCUUGGUAUGUAGUAAAUGCUUAACAAAUAUUAUCAUCAUCAUUAUUCUUAUUACACUCACAAUAAGGAGUGAGAGGUGAAGAGCCAGCAAGUGAGACUGAGAAGAAACGGUCAGCAUGGUAGGAGGAGAGCGAGAUGAGCACCCCCAAGGUCAGGUGGUCAGUAGUUUUUAGCGUGGGGAGUGCUGAAAGGUCAAGAAGGAUCAGGACUGAGUCGGGAUGCUGGGUCGCCAGGAAUUCUUCUGGAUUUCUCAGAGGAGGGCUGAGGCUGCUGGGUCCCGGAACAGGUCCCCACUGAUGUUCU